rnacentral:rRNA from 1 species
UCAGACGAUGCGUCAUGCAUAUCAAUAAGCGGAGGAAAAGAAACUAACUAGGAUUCCCUCAGUAACGGCGAGUGAAGCGGGAAGAGCUCAAAUUUGAAAUCUUCAAGGUUCUACCUUGACGAAUUGUAGUUUAAAGAAGUGUUUUCUGUUGGAGUUUUGGUAAAAGUUCUUUGGAAUAGGACAUCAUAGAGGGUGAGAAUCCCGUAUUUGACCAUUAUUUCCAGCUUUGUGAUACACUUUCAAAGAGUCGGAUUGUUUGGGAAUGCAGUCCAAAAUGGGUAGGUAAAUUUCAUCCUAAAGCUAAAUAUUGGCGAGAGACCGAUAGCGAACAAGUACCGUGAGGGAAAGAUGAAAAGAACUUUGAAAAGAGAGUUAAACAGUACGUGAAAUUGUCAAAAGGGAAGCGUUUGACACCAGUGUUGUUUUCUCGAAAAUCAAUUAAAAAAGGCAGGAUUUUGUGUUGUAUUGACUUUAUCAGCUUUCUGCACUCUUUUCUUGUCUUUUUUUAAUGCACUUUUCGUUUAACAAGUCAACAUCAAUUCCUUUUGUUGUGAAAGGGUCAUUGGAAGGUGGCUUUCUUUUCGGAGAAAGUGUUUAUAGCCUUUGGCCUCUGCAAUCGGAGAGAUUGAGGUCUGCAGCGUAGAUCCUUCGGGGUUAGAUACAUUUGUGCUAAGUUAUAGCCUUUCAUAGACAACUUGUUGACUAUGAUCAGUCAUGUAGCUUACUCGCUUAUGCUAUUUUACCUACGCUUAGGAUGUUGAUCUACAGAGCGAGAGU